rnacentral:rRNA from 1 species
UACGAGGGGGGCUAGUGUUGUUCGGAAUCACUGGGCGUAAAGGGAGCGUAGGCGGGCUUUCAAGUUAGGUGUUUAAUCCCGGGGCCCAACCCCGGACAGGCACUUAAAACUGGAAGUCUUGAAUAGUGGAGAGGUCAGUGGAAUUGGGGGUGUAGCGGUGGAAUGCGUAGAGAUCCCCAAGAACACCAGUUGCGAAGGCGGCUGACUGGACACAUAUUGACGCUGAGGCUCGAAAGCAUGGGGAGCAAACAGG